rnacentral:snRNA from 1 species
GUGCUCACUUUGGCAACUCCUAUACUAAAAUUGGAACUAUACAGAGAUGAUUGGUAUGGCCCCUGCGCAAGGAUGACACACAAAUUUGUAAAGCAUUCCAUAUUUUU